GGGACUGAGGAAAGAAACAGGAGAUGAGGGAAACAGAAGAGCCUCCUGUUCCCAGAAGAUCCCAGAAUCUGAGGCCUCCUGAGGGAAGGUGGGUACCCUGGGUGGGCAGAAAGCCUCUGAGCUGCCCCUUGUCCCAGCAGUGGCUGUGCAGCAGAGCAGGCGCCUGGAGCUGGGGAGGUGAGGGCUGCCCUGUGAGCUGAGCAGGAACAGCCCCUUCCCAGCACCGGCAUCCCUGGGGUCCUCCCUGGGGAGAUGCUGAUGCUGCCUUUGGCUGAGGCAGCCACAGGGCUGGCUGCUGCAGGAGGGAAAAGCCCAGAAGGAGCCUUGCAGGCACAGCAAGGACAGAGCUCUGCUCUUCUUCCUUUGCUCCCCCAGCAGAGUGGUUUCCUGCAGCUCUGUCAUCUCGGGGCUGGGAGCUGCUUUGCGCACUCUCUCACACAGCAAACAGGCAGCUUGGUCUCAGCAUGCACCUGGGAUCCCUCGUCCUCACUGUCCUUCUGGGGACACUGCUGGGCACCAUGGGGCAGGUCACCGUCACCCAGCCACAAAGAGAAGUCACACUGCAGCAGGGGGACUCCUUCAAAACUACCUGCACAUACCAGAGCUCUGGCUUCGAUGUCUUGCUCUGGUACCAGCAGAAGAAAGGCCAAGCUCCCCAGCUGCUCUCGUAUCAAGCAAGAUCUGACCAGAAGGUCACUGGCCGUUUCAGGACUGUGCUGAACACCACGGGGAAAUACAGCCUCCUGCAGCUGGAGGAAGUCGAGGUCUCUGACAGUGCCUUGUACCUCUGUGCUGUGCAAGACACCGCGGUGCAGGGAGCUUCCUUGGCUGUGCAACAACCCAGGGCAGGGAGGGGAUGUUCUUGCUCAGCUGCUGGAGACAGUGGCUGCAAGGGCCCCACUGCCCCAUGUGGCAGCUCCUCAUUGCUCUGGCACUGA